rnacentral:lncRNA from 1 species
GGCUGAGCGGUCGGCGGUGUUGUGCGUGGGCGUGGGACAGCGGGGAAUAGGAUAGAUUGGCAGGUGUGCGGUGCGCGGACGCGGGCACACGACGUGGGGUGGCCAGCGGCACGGUGUCCGACGACGCGACUGUCAGCGGCGGCGCGGGCGGCCAAGGACUGGGGCACGACGGCAGCGGUUGGAGGUGGUGGCGCAGGCGGCCAGGGACGGGGCGCGGCGGCAGCAUUCGGAGGCGGUGGUGCGGCGGCGGACCGGGGGCGCACACGAGGUAGGCGGCGGCUGGGGGUGCAGGCGAGGGGAACAGAGGCGACGCUGACUGCACGCCGGAGCUCGCUGCCAGGGAGAGGUGGCGCCGGUGGGGCAUAGCCGAGGUGCAACGGGCAGCGGGUGCAAGGAGAGAGGCACGGUGCAACGGGCGACGUCUGGGGUUGCAGGCGAAGGGAACGGAGGCGGCGGGAUUGGCCGCCGGCGAGAGGGAGGCGAGGUGGAGCGGCCGGUGGAGGGCACGUGAAGAAGAGAGGCUCGGGAGGAAGAAGCUGACGUGGCAUGGAAAUAGGGGCUCCCCAAGAGGUCCCUGGGAAUAGGGGUUGGAGGGGGUGUUCUAGGGGCCUCCCUAGAAUAGGGACCCGAGUAGGGACCCUGCUGAAGAAGGUUUUGUGGCCUCAGCCCCUAAAAAUGGGAUAGGGACCC